rnacentral:rRNA from 1 species
CCCGACUGCUAUCAGAGUGGGACUAAGCCAUGCGAGUCAACAUAGCAAUAUGUGGCAUACGGCUCAGUAACACGUAGUCAACAUGCCCAGGGGACGUGGAUAACCUCGGGAAACUGAGGAUAAACCGCGAUAAGUCACUACUUCUGGAAUGGGUAAUGACUCAAAUCUACAUGGCCCCUGGAUUGGACUGCGGCCGAUCAGGCUGUUGGUGAGGUAAUGGCCCACCAAACCUGUAACCGGUACGGGCUCUGAGAGGAGGAGCCCGGAGAUGGGCACUGAGACAAGGGCCCAGGCCCUAUGGGGCGCAGCAGGCGCGAAACCUCUGCAAUAGGCGAAAGCCUGACAGGGUUACUCUGAGUGAUUUCCGUUAAGGAGAUCUUUUGGCACCUCUAAAAAUGGUGCAGAAUAAGGGGUGGGCAAGUCUGGUGU